CAGCAGUAGCCACGGGAAUACGGAGGGUGCAAGCGUUAUCCGGAUUCACUGGGUUUAAAGGGUGCGUAGGCGGAUCUGUAAGUCAGUGGUGAAAUCUCCAGGCUUAACCUGGAAACUGCCGUUGAUACUAUAGGUCUUGAAUUUUGUGGAGGUUAGCGGAAUAUGUCAUGUAGCGGUGAAAUGCAUAGAUAUGACAUAGAACACCAAUUGCGAAGGCAGCUGGCUACACAACUAUUGACGCUGAGGCACGAAAGCGUGGGGAUCAAACAGGAUUAGAUACCCCCGUAGUCCCUGUCUCUUAUAC
rnacentral:rRNA from 1 species